rnacentral:rRNA from 1 species
AGUGAACGCUGGCGGUAGGCCUAACACAUGCAAGUCGAACGGCAGCACAGUAAGAGCUUGCUCUUACGGGUGGCGAGUGGCGGACGGGUGAGGAAUACAUCGUAAUCUACUUUUUCGUGGGGGAUAACGUAGGGAAACUUACGCUAAUACCGCAUACGACCUACGGGUGAAAGCAUGGGAUCUUCGGACCUUGCGCGAUUGAAUGAGCCGAUGUCGGAUUAGCUAGUUGGCGGGGUAAAUGCCCACCAAGGCGACGAUCCGUAGCUGGUCUGAGAGGAUGAUCAGCCACACUGGAACUGAGACACGGUCCAGACUCCUACGGGAGGCCGCAGUGGGGAAUAUUGGACAAUGGGCGCAAGCCUGAUCCAGCCAUACCGCGUGGGUGAAGAAGGCCUUCGGGUUGUAAAGACCUUUUGUUGGGAAAGAAAAGCAGCAGGUUAAUACCCCGCUGUUCUGACGGUACCCAAAGAAUAAGCACCGGCUAACUUCGUG